CUGUUUUACACCUCUUUCCAGCACACCCCUUUUCUUUUCGUUUUAUCUUCUUCAUUUGGCUAAAUAGAAAGGUACGAACACCGAUUAAAUCCGCCGCCCCACCGCCCCACCGCCCCACCGUCGACUGUGUGCUGUCUUUACGGCCGAUGGCCAGUGGCGAUGGUUCCUGGUUCCAGACGACGAUUGAAUUCCGAUGAAUACAGAUCCGCCGCCCGCCGCCGCCUUUGUCCUGACGUUCCGGCCGUCGGUCAGUGACGACGGUCUCUGGCUCAGACGACGAUGGAUGGUGGCGAUGGUGGUCGAUCUGUGUAUCGUUGUCACGUUUACCGGCGAAAUGGAUUUUCAUUGACUACCCAACUCAGAGCAGCUUUGGUCGACUUGGUUUUCUCUGGUACAAGUGAUUUAAGAACAACAGAGAGAUUGAGAUUGUUAAAAACCUUAUCAUCAUUCUUGCAUUAACCAGGAAGACAUUUUCUUUCAAAACAAGACUCGAUGUAAUUGUGGUUGGAGUUCUUUGUUUUCUUGCAAAGGUUGCGGGCUGUGAUGACAUUUAGUUUCUCGGUAACUUAUGGUUUUAUUGGAUACUAUUAAUUGGAUACUAUUAAUUGGUGAACGAAAUGAACAGUGAUUCUUCUGAUUGGUUGAUGCCCCCAAUGAAGGAUCUCCACCAAAUUUGUACGUGGCGGUUACACCUUCCCCAGCCCACCCCUUUUAUUGCCCUUAUAUUCUUUAUUUCCCUGAUCAUGGGUUUUUUCGAUUGGCUGUCAUGAGUUCAAAUUCUUUUUUCAAAGAUUUAUGAGGGUGGCGUGACAAGGAUGAUGGAUGGUAGGUUUUGACCUGCAACCCGUCUUGCAGCCCCGAUUUUCGGAAGCUCUGAGCCAUAGAAAACUUGAUUUUCUCUUGGGUGCGUAUUUUUGCUUUGUUUUGGUGUUAUUUUUGUAAGAUGGUUUUAUGCACCUCAAUAGACGGUUUGUGAUUCCCUUGAUUUGUAUGCAUUAGUCUAAUUCUCACUAGCAAUGAUGUAAAAUCUGAGCCACUUUACACUUUGAAUUCUUGGUUAAAUCUGAGCCACAGUCUGGUUUGUUCACAA